rnacentral:rRNA from 1 species
AGGGCAUACGGCGGAUGCCUAGGCGCCAUCAGCCGAUGAAGGACGCGGUAAGCUGCGAAAAGCUACGGGGAACUGCAAGCAAGUAUUGAUCCGUAGAUGUCCGAAUGGGGAAACCCACCUGCCGUCAUGGGCAGGUAUCCGAAAGGAAGGGAACCCGGGGAACUGAAACAUCUAAGUACCCGGAGGAAGAGAAAUCAAACGAGAUGCCCACAGUAGCGGCGAGCGAAGAGGGCAGAGGGCAAACCGGGGAGCUACGGCUCUCCGGGGUUGAGGACUGCAUUUAGUCUUAAUGGUCUAUCCGAACUACCUGGAAAGGUAGGCAACACAGUGUAAAAGCCACGUAGGUUAAAGGCCAGAGAGAUGAGCAGUAUCCAGAGUACCACGAGGCACGAGGAAUCUUGUGGGAAGCCGGGGGGACCACCCUCCAACCCUAAACACUGAAUGGCGACCGAUAGCGCAUAGUACCGUGAGGGAAAGGUGAAAAGAACCCCGGGAGGGGAGUGAAAGAGAACCUGAAACCGUAUGUCUACAAGCAGUCGGAGCGAAAGCGACGGCGUGCCUAUUGAAGAAUGAACCAACGAGUUACGUGCACUAGCGAGGUUAAGUGGAAGACACGGAGCCGAAGCGAAAGCGAGUCUUAAGAGGGCGGAUAGUUAGUGUACGUAGACCCGAAACCGCAGUGAUCUACCCAUGUCCAGGUUGAAGCGCAGGUAAAAUUGCGUGGAGGACCGAACCUGUGAGCGUUGAAAAGCUUUAGGAUGAGAUGUGGGUAGAGGUGAAAUUCCAAUCGAACGCGGAGAUAGCUGGUUCUCCCCGAAAUAGCUUUAGGGCUAGCCUCAAGUAGUAAGUAUAGGCGGUAGAGCACUGAUCGGGCUAGGGGCCAUAAAGGUUACCGAACCCUGUCAAACUCCGAAUGGUUAUACUGUAGAGCUUGGGAGUCAGACUACGAGUGAUAAGAUCCGUGGUCAAAAGGGAAACAGCCCAGACCACCAGCUAAGGUCCCCAAUGUCGUACUAAGUGGAAAAGGAUGUGGGGUCUCUAAAACAACCAGGAUGUUGGCUUAGAAGCAGCCACCAUUUAAAGAGUGCGUAAUAGCUCACUGGUCGAGAGACCCUGCGCCGAAGAUUACCGGGGCUAAAGUACGAAACCGAAGCUGUGGCUACGACGUAAGUCGUGGGGUAGGGGAGCGUUCUGUGAGGGCUGAAGUCGUUCUGUAAGGAACGGUGGACUUCACAGAAGUGAGAAUGUUGGUAUGAGUAGCGAAAAGAAUGGUGAGAAUCCAUUCCACCGAAAGCAUAAGGAUUCCUGGGCAACGAUCGUCGUCCCAGGGUAAGUCGGGACCUAAUCCGAGGCAUGGAGCGUAGGAGAUGGACAACUGGCAGAUAUUCCAGUACCGGUAAUGAUUGUUUGAGCGAUGGAGUGACACAGGAGGGCAGGCAGGCAGGAGAUUGGUUGUUCCUGUACAAGCGUGUAGGAUGGGACGUAGGCAAAUCCGCGUCCUGUGAGUCUGAGGCGUGAUGUGGAGGUUCCGGAAACGGAACUGAAGCUGCUGACCCCACACUGUCGAGAAAAGCUUCUAGUUAGAGAAUUACCGCCCGUACCGUAAACCGACACAGGUAUGCGGGGAGAGAAUCCUAAGGUGCGCGGGAGAACCCUCGUUAAGGAACUCGGCAAAAUGUACCCGUAACUUCGGGAUAAGGGUAGCCGCUGUUGUGAAGUCUGAACAGACGGAGCAUGAGGCGGUCGCAGAGAAGAGGCCCAAGCGACUGUUUACCACAAACACAGGUGCCUGCUAAAGAGAAAUCUGACGUAUAGGUGCUGACACCUGCCCAGUGCCGGAAGGUUAAGGAAGGAUGUCCGGAGCAAUCCAAAGCAUUCGACCGAAGCCCCGGUGAACGGCGGCCGUAACUAUAACGGUCCUAAGGUAGCGAAAUUCCUUGUCGGGUAAGUUCCGACCCGCACGAAAGGUGUAACGAUUUGGGCACUGUCUCAACGAGGGACCCGGUGAAAUUGAAGUACCUGUGAAGAUGCAGGUUACCCGCGACUGGACAGAAAGACCCCAUGGAGCUUUACUGUAACCUGACAUUGGGUUCUGAUACAUCACGUACAGGAUAGGUGGGAGGCAUGGAAGCGAGGACGCUAGUCUUCGUGGAGCCGCCGUUGGGAUACCACCCUUGAUGUAUCGGAAUUCUAACCGUAGGAGUAACGAAACUCGGGACAGUGUCAGGCGGGCAGUUUGACUGGGGCGGUCGCCUCCCAAAGAGUAACGGAGGCGCCCAAAGGU